CAGCGCCCGACGUGCAAGUGGGGAGGAGAUUCUCGUCCAGGACGGUGAGGAUUCAAAUACUUUGGACAGACUCACCGACUGCCCGGCUGAGAGAAUCUGUGAGGUCUACCUGCCUAGCAGUUUGCCUUUGCACGGUCCUCCUGUGAGGAGUGAGAACACACAGGCUCCACAAGCAGAUGAGCAGAAGAGCAGAGGAACAGAAGAGCAGCACAGCAGAGGAGGAGUGUCUGAGUGUUGAGAGGAGUUUGGCUGGGGAUGGUCGGAGAGGAGUUCGGCCACGGGAUGACCAAACUCCAGGGGAAGAUCAUUUUCCCACUCCAUCCCCUUUCCAGCUCCCCAUCCAUCCUGCUGAG